UUUGACAAACGCUGCAUUCCAAGUAAUGUAGAGGAAAGUCCAUACUUGCACCAACCUGUGAUGGUGGUAGUGUUUGUGCUUAGGGAAAAAAUAACCUAAGGUAGUAUGUGAAUACUAACGACGCUUAGAUUGACCUAACGGUUUACUAUGGUCUAUAAGCAUAAAGUGCCGCAGUGACGAAUCUUUUAGAAAUAAAAGGGUGAAACGUGGUAAACUCCGCAAGCAAGAAACCCAAAUUAUGGUAGGGGAACCCAGAAGAAGAGAAUAAAGAAUCUUCCAGGGACUAAAGUAAUUUAGUAGAUAAAUGUUUGUCGCCUAGAAAUUUAGGAACAGAAUAUGGCUUAUAA
rnacentral:RNase_P_RNA from 1 species